GAUGAACGCUGGCGGCGUGCCUAAUACAUGCAAGUCGAGCGAACGGACGAGAAGCUUGCUUCUCUGAUGUUAGCGGCGGACGGGUGAGUAACACGUGGAUAACCUACCUAUAAGACUGGGAUAACUUCGGGAAACCGGAGCCAAUACCGGAUAAUAUUUUGAACCGCAUGGUUCAAAAGUGAAAGACGGUCUUGCUGUCACUUAUAGAUGGAUCCGCGCUGCAUUAGCUAGUUGGUAAGGUAACGGCUUACCAAGGCAACGAUGCAUAGCCGACCUGAGAGGGUGAUCGGCCACACUGGAACUGAGACACGGUCCAGACUCCUACGGGAGGCAGCAGUAGGGAAUCUUCCGCAAUGGGCGAAAGCCUGACGGAGCAACGCCGCGUGAGUGAUGAAGGUCUUCGGAUCGUGAAACUCUGUUAUUAGGGAAGAACAUAUGUGUAAGUAACUGUGCACAUCUUGACGGUACCUAAUCAGAAAGCCACGGCUAACUACGUG
rnacentral:rRNA from 1 species